CUACCAUUGGCACUCCUAGGCUCAGCCCCUCCAAUGUAGAAUUCCAUCCACAGUGUGUAACAAAGCAGCCCACAGCUUGGUGAGCUAGGACCUCUAGUUGGUUGCACCAUGCCACGACUAUCCCUGUCUCGCCUACUGAGCUUAUAAAAUCAACUGGUAGCUUGUUUUCUGAAUCCUUGAUAACCCAUAGGAAAGGCCAGUUGCUUACUUCUAAACCCCACGCAAUUUCUUCAACCUGUUUAGCUGAAAUGUCUGCCAUGCUUCCAAAUGACACAUAUAUUACCGAGUCUGGUGGCUUUGUGUCAAGCCAUCUCAGGCACUGGUCAGUUGUUUGUUCCCAGAGACUGGCCCCAUAAGCUGUAUCUCCAUCAAUUUGUUGGUCUAGGUAGGCAGAUGGCAGGGUUGGACCAACCAUCACCACUGGCCACAGUCCCCUCAUGGCUCUUACUAGCUCAAUCUCUAGCUCUUCGAAGGAGUUGCAGAACACCCAAUCAUUUUUAUCUAAACUGUGAAAUUUCUGCAAGAUUGUUUCUAAAUAAGCAGAGUGAGUUGUUGGGGAUGCCAGAAAACUUGGCAAUUCAUAGAAGUCUAGUGAAGGAAGGCCAGGCAAAGACACAGGCACAGUUUCUUGCUUCACAGGAAGAGUGAGGAGACCCUGAUCAAUUUGCCAAUACAUGGAGCAGACAGAAGCUGAAUUGGUCAAAAAUACAGCAGCAUAUAUCCCAAGUUGUUUUGCUACAUCAACAGCCCAAGUCAGCAAUGAAUCAUACACAAUACAUGUAACAGGGNNNNNNNNNNNCUUCAAGAUGAGCUCAGUAAGAGUUCUUGAACCAACUGUCUUGAAUGAUUCUAGGUAGGCCUCUACACCUGAGGAUUGCUUGAAGCCGCCUUCAUCAAAGCCAUCAGAUAUGGGUUCAACGCCUACGUUGGGGGCAUGGAUCGAGUUUACUGUGUAAGGGGUGGUGGCGAAAGUGGCCUUGACUCCUUUGGAGGCCAAGCGCUUAGCAAACUGAAGGAGGGGGUUAAUGUGGCCUUGAGCAGGAUAAGGGAUAACAAUGACAUGGCAUCUUGGAUCGGCCAUCAGCUUUGU
rnacentral:misc_RNA from 1 species